AACGCACAUUGCGCCCUUUGGUAUUCCGAAGGGCAUGCCUGUUCGAGCGUCAUUAUCAACCCUCAAGCCUGGCUUGCUGUUGGACCUUCGUCGUUAAACCGACGGGUCUCAAAGACAAUGACGGAGUCAGUUGGACCCUAGAUGCAACGAGCUUUCGAGCACGCAUUGACGGGGCCGGUGGCUCUGGUCUUCACCCCAUAUUUUUAUACAAGGUUGACCUCGGAUCAGGUAGGAAUACCCGCUGAACUUAA
rnacentral:misc_RNA from 1 species